UACGUAGGGGGCAAGCGUUGUCCGGAAUCAUUGGGCGUACAGAGCUCGUAGGCGGUGUGUCGCGUCGGCCGUGAAAACCUGCAGCUUAACUGUGGGCUUGCGGUCGAUACGGGCAUCACUGGAGUUCGGCAGGGGAGACUGGAAUUCCUGGUGUAGCGGUGAAAUGCGCAGAUAUCAGGAGGAACACCGGUGGCGAAGGCGGGUCUCUGGGCCGUAACUGACGCUGAGGAGCGAAAGCGUGGGGAGCAAACAGG
rnacentral:rRNA from 1 species